GAUGAACGCUGGCGGCGUGCCUAAUACAUGCAAGUCGAGCGAACAGACGAGGAGCUUGCUCCUUCGACGUUAGCGGCGGACGGGUGAGUAACACGUAGGUAACCUACCUAUAAGACUGGGAUAACUUCGGGAAACCGGAGCUAAUACCGGAUAAUAUUUUGAACCGCAUGGUUCGAUAGUGAAAGACGGCUUUGCUGUCACUUAUAGAUGGAUCUGCGCCGCAUUAGCUAGUUGGUAAGGUAACGGCUUACCAAGGCAACGAUGCAUAGCCGACCUGAGAGGGUGAUCGGCCACACUGGAACUGAGACACGGUCCAGACUCCUACGGGAGGCAGCAGUAGGGAAUCUUCCGCAAUGGGCGAAAGCCUGACGGAGCAACGCCGCGUGAGUGAUGAAGGUCUUCGGAUCGUAAAACUCUGUUAUUAGGGAAGAACAAAUGUGUAAGUAACUGUGCACAUCUUGACGGUACCUAAUCAGAAAGCCACGGCUAACUACGUG
rnacentral:rRNA from 1 species